rnacentral:rRNA from 1 species
UACGAAGGGGGCUAGCGUUGUUCGGAAUCACUGGGCGUAAAGGGCGCGUAGGCGGCUUUUCAAGUCGGGGGUGAAAGCCUGUGGCUCAACCACAGAAUUGCCUUCGAUACUGUUAGGCUUGAGACCGGAAGAGGUGAGUGGAACUGCGAGUGUAGAGGUGAAAUGCGCAGAUAUCAGGAGGAACACCGAUUGCGAAGGCAGCUCGCUGGGACGUAACUGACGCUGAGACGCGAAAGCGUGGGGAGCAAACAGG